UAGCAUAUCAAUAAGCGGAGGAAAAGAACCAACAGGGAUUGCCCCAGUAACGGCGAGUGAAGCGGCAACAGCUCAAAUUUGAAAUCUGGCCCCUCGGGCCCGAGUUGUAAUUUGUAGAGGAUGCUUUUGGCAAGGUGCCGCCCGAGUUCCCUGGAACGGGACGCCGCAGAGGGUGAGAGCCCCGUCUGGCUGGCCGCCGAGCCUCUGUAAAGCUCCUUCGACGAGUCGAGUAGUUUGGGAAUGCUGCUCAAAAUGGGAGGUAUAUGUCUUCUAAAGCUAAAUAUUGGCCAGAGACCGAUAGCGCACAAGUAGAGUGAUCGAAAGAUGAAAAGCACUUUGAAAAGAGGGUUAAACAGUACGUGAAAUUGUUGAAAGGGAAGCGCUCAUGACCAGACUUGGGCUUGGCGGAUCAUCCGGCGUUCUCGCCGGUGCACUUCGCCUCGCCCAGGCCAGCAUCAGUUCGCGCCGGGGGACAAAAGCUUCGGGAAUGUGGCUCCUCCGGGAGUGUUAUAGCCCGUUGCAUAAUACCCUGGGGCGGACUGAGGUUCGCGCAUCUGCAAGGAUGCUGGCGUAAUGGUCAUCAGCGACCCGUCUUGAAACACGGACCAAGGAGUCGUCUUCGUAUGCGAGUGUUCGGGUGUCAAACCCCUACGCGUAAUGAAAGUGAACGCAGGUGAGAGCUUCGGCGCAUCAUCGACCGAUCCUGAUGUUCUCGGAUGGAUUUGAGUAAGAGCAUACGGGGCCGGACCCGAAAGAAGGUGAACUAUGCCUGUAUAGGGUGAAGCCAGAGGAAACUCUGGUGGAGGCUCGCAGCGGUUCUGACGUGCAAAUCGAUCGUCAAAUAUGGGCAUGGGGGCGAAAGACUAAUCGAACCUUCUAGUAGCUGGUUUCCGCCGAU
rnacentral:rRNA from 1 species